rnacentral:rRNA from 1 species
CAGUCGCCGCGGUAAUACGAACCGUGCGAACGUUAUUCGGAAUUACUGGGCGUAAAGGGUACGUAGGUGGUCUUUUAAGCGUAGGGUAUAAGGCAAUGGCUCAACCAUUGUUCGCCCUAUGAACUGGAAGGCUUGAGUGCAGGAGAGGAAAGCGGAAUUCCUAGUGCAGCGGUGGAAUGCAUAGAUAUUAGGAGGAACAUCAGCGGCGAAGGCGGCUUUCUGGACUGCAACUGACACUGAGGUACGAAAGCGUGGGGAGCAAACAGGAUUAGAUACCCGAGUAGUCCCUGUCUCUUAUACA